rnacentral:hammerhead_ribozyme from 1 species
AUCCAGCUGACGAGUUUGAAAUAGGACGAAACGCGCACCCUGGAU